rnacentral:lncRNA from 1 species
CUCCAAACAAAAACAAAAACAAAAAAACCAGAUAAUUAUUGAAUGUUUUUGCAAGAACCAGAAGAUGCAGAAUUGCAGAAUAUUUGAGGCUGAGCUCGGCUCUGACGUCUGGAUGGUGGCUCCUUGUCUGCUCGAUGGCUCUUGGUUUUAACUUUGAAUUUGACUCUGACUCUGACUCUGGCUGUUGCUCUCUGACUUUGACUGUGACUCUGACUCUGGCGCUGGCUCAGCGGUGCCAAGACAACACGCUGCGUCGAGUUCCCGGGAAAAACUGAAACUGAACAAAUGUUACACUUGAUGCAUGCGUUCGGUGCUCGGUGGUCGGUGGUCGGUGCCAGGCGGCCCGUGCCGUGCCCGAAACUCAACCGAAAUCGGGACGGAAGCCGAUACCGA